rnacentral:misc_RNA from 1 species
AACUAACGCUAUUAUUGUUACAGUUUCUGUACUUUAUUGGUAUGAGAAGCUUCCAGAACUUAUGUUCUGGUAAAUUUUGGAAUGAUGCCUUCGGGCAUCUUUUUUUUUUUGCGGAUUCACCAGGCGGGGGCCGGGAUGGGGGCCACGGGUCACACAGGGAGAGGGGGGGGGCAACCACCACAUGCAAGGCCCAAAGAGGCUUCCUAAGCAAAUUCCAAUUUUCCGGUAACAGGUGUCAGUCGAACAUUUCCCGCACCUUUUCGAUUUUUUUACACAGGUCUUUU